rnacentral:rRNA from 1 species
GACAGAGGGUGCAAACGUUGUUCGGAAUUACUGGGCGUAAAGCGCGUGUAGGCGGCAACGCAAGUCGGAUGUGAAAGCCCAUGGCUCAACCAUGGAAGUGCACCCGAAACUGCGUUGCUAGAGUCUCGGAGAGGAAGGUGGAAUGCUUGGUGUAGAGGUGAAAUUCGUAGAUAUCAAGCGGAACACCGGUGGCGAAGGCGGCCUUCUGGACGAGUACUGACGCUGAGGUGCGAAAGCGUGGGGAGCAAACAGG